rnacentral:rRNA from 1 species
CCCUUAGACGUUCUGGGCCGCACGCGCGCUACACUGACAAAGGCAACGAGCUACUCUUCACCGAAAGGUGUGGGUAAUCUUUUGAAACUUUGUCGUGCUGGGGAUAGAUCCUUGCAAUUUUUGAUCUUAAACGAGGAAUUCCUAGUAAGCGCAAGUCAUCAACUUGCGUUGAUUACGUCCCUGCCCUUUGUACACAUCGCCCGUCGCUACUACCGAUUGAAUGGUUUAGUGAGGCCUUCGGAUCCGCGACUCGUUUGUGGAGAAGUUGGACAAACUCAGUCAUUUAGAGGAAGUAAAAGUCGUAACA